rnacentral:lncRNA from 1 species
GGGUAUAAGUCCAGUAAUGGAAUCUCUGGAUCAAAGGGAAUGCACAUAGUUGUAACUUUGUAUAGUUCCAAAUUGCUUUCCAGAAUGUACCAACAAUGUCCCUAGUUUUUCUAACAUUGCCCAGUUGAUUAUUUUUAGUAUCCUGCUGGAAUUCUCUAUAUGUUCACUUGCUAUAUAUCAAACUUAAUAGGUUCAGAUCUGAACCUAUCUCUCCUCUAUCAUCUCUGUUAUUGAUGGUAUGGUAAUUCUGGUUAUCCAGUCUUCUGAUCUCUAGAUUGUAAUUCUUUAAAUACAGUCAAGAAGACUUACAUUCAAAUUUAGCCUCAGGUUCUCUCUAAAUGCAUAGCCCUAGGUAAUUCAAUUAACUUCUGUUUACCUGUUUCUUUAACUAUAUAAAAUGAGGAUAAUAGCACCUGCCUUCCAAGAUUGUUGUGCGAUCAAAUGAGAUAUUUUUUAAAAUUUAUUUUAUUAUUACAGAUUUUUAUUUACAAAACAUAUGCAUGGGUAAUUUUUCAACAUUGACCCUUGCAAAACCUGUUCCAACUUUUCUCCUUUCCUCCAGCCCCUCCCUCAGAUGGCAUGUAGUCCAAUACAUGUUAACUAUGUUAAAGUAUAUGUUAAAUUCAACAUAUAUGUACAUAUUUAUGCAGUUAUCUUGCUGCACAAGAAAAAUCGGAUCUAGCAAGAAAAAAACCUGAGAAGGAAAACAAAAAUGCAAAGCAGACGAUAACAGAAAGAGUGAAAAUGCUAUGUUGUGGUCCACACUCAGCGGCCACUGUCCCCUCUUUGGGUGUAGAUGGCUCUCUUCACUGAAAAUUGGAACUGUUUCAUUGUUGAAGAAAGCCACGCCCAUCAGAGUAGAUCAUCGUAUAAUCUUGUUGGUGCCAUGUAUAAUGAUCAAAUGAGAUAUUGGUAAAGCAUUUAGUACAGUGCCUAACACCUAACACAUAGUAGGCAUUUAAUAAAUGCUUCUUCCCUUCCUCUGUCCUUCUGCUUUGCCACAUACAUCUAGUCAUCAUAUUUUGGUAAUUCUACCUUUAAAUUCUGUUGCAUGAUCAUAGUCUCCCAAAUAGUCUUGUGACUUAAUCUAUGCCCUCUCCCAAGCAUUCUUCAGAUUUUUGCCUGAAUAAUGUUAAUUUCACUAGUCAAACCUUUGGCUUCCUAUUAUCUAGCAUUUAAAGACCCUCUACUUUUCCAACUUAUAUUGUAUUAUCUUCAUGUAUUCUAUAGUCUAGCCAAACUGAUCCAAUAUCUUUUCGGUUCUUUGUCCUUCUGCCUGGAAUGUAUUGUUCUAUCUCUUCUCCCAAAUAUAUUGAAGUCCUUUUCUUCCCUCAGCUUCUAGGUCAAGUGCCAUUUUUCUUCCACGAAAUCUCUGACAACCUCUCCCUCUCCAUUUCAUUACAUUCUUGUAACAUUUUCUAAGUCUUUCCAUUAAAUAAAUGAACUUUCUGAAAGCAGUCUGUCUUACCUAUCUUCAUCUUCUCCAUGAUUAGUACAGUGCCAUAUGCAUAAUAAUUUUAAUACUGUUUUUUAUUGGGGGAAUAAAUAAAUAGUUGAAAGGGGGCAAAGUCAUGAAAACCAGCAAAGUGGAAGGAGAAAAAGAGUGAGAGUGCUCAAAUAUGGAUGGGUCUUGUUCCAUAGUUACCAUUAAGCCUUCAUAGAGCCCUGUUGCCUGUUAUCAUUUUUUAAUGGAAUAUGUUUACAUGGAG